UACAGAGGUUGCAAGCGUUGUUCGGAAUUACUGGGCGUAAAGGGCGCGUAGGCGGCCAUCUAAGUCAGACGUGAAAUCCCCCGGCUUAACCUGGGAACUGCGUCUGAUACUGGAAGGCUUGAGUAUGGGAGAGGGAUGUAGAAUUCCAGGUGUAGCGGUGAAAUGCGUAGAUAUCUGGAGGAAUACCGGUGGCGAAGGCGGCAUCCUGGACCAUUACUGACGCUGAGGCGCGAAAGCUAGGGGAGCAAACGGG
rnacentral:rRNA from 1 species